CGUUCCUUCAUCUUCUUUGUUGCUACCAUGAACAACAAUGAACCAUCACUUUGUUCCUCUCGUUGUUUAUUAUCACGUCUCUCCCCUUCGUAGUUGUCACUACCAAAAUUACGAUACUUCAAAAUACAAGGUUCAUUUUGAAAUCUGACCCAACCCCAAUCGAUCUAUAAACAAUAUCGUCUCAAUACUUGAAGAAAGACGACCUACUAGUGUUUGUUUGAAAGCCACCCCUGUCAUCUUCAUACUCUUGAGGAGCAUCAAUGGAGUUUCAAAGGCAAUUGGAGCAAAAAGUGUUUGAGAUGGAUCUUGUUGUGUAUGGAUAAUUAUAGCAUAAUAAAGGAGGAAAUUGAAGGAAAAAAAUUGAAAAGAUUAUAAUCAAGAAAUAGAAGACAAAUUUGCCUCAGCUGUGGAG